UACGUAGGGGGCAAGCGUUGUCCGGAUUUAUUGGGCGUAAAGAGCGUGUAGGCGGCCAUACAGGUCAGCUGUGAAAACUCGAGGCUCAACCUCGAGACGUCGGUUGAAACCGUAUGGCUAGAGUCCGGAAGAGGAGAGUGGAAUUCCCGGUGUAGCGGUGAAAUGCGCAGAUAUCGGGAGGAAUACCAAAGGCGAAGGCAGUGUCCUGGGGAGUGUCUGACGCUCAGGCGCGAAAGCUAGGGGAGCGAACAGG
rnacentral:rRNA from 1 species